rnacentral:rRNA from 1 species
UGGGAAAAGCUCAACUUUGAAAUCUGGCAGCUUUGCUGUCCGAGUUGUAGUCUCGAGAAGCGUUUUCCGCGCCGAAGCAUGUAUGAGUCUGUUGGAAUACAGCGCCAUAGAGGGUGAGA